AAGUAGUGGCUCUUGGAUUGGCUAGGAGUAGCAUUUGGGCGCCAAAAGGGUUUCUAGGUUUUGAUUUUUGGCUCUCUUUUUCUCCAUCUCUCUUUAUUUUAUUCUUCCAUAAAUAUAAAUAUCUGUUUGCUUUGAUUCCAUCUUCCAUCUCACGCAGAAGGCUCAGAAGUUUCUAGAAAUGUCUGGAAAGGGGAAGAAGAGGGAGGAACCUGAUUUUGCUUCCGAAGGCGACUCUGAAGGUCACGCGCCUCCCAAAAAGUCAUUCAAGAAAGAUUCCGAUGACGAUCCCGAUUCCAUCGUCGUCUGCGAGAUUUCGAAGAACAGGAGGGUUUCCGUGAGGAAUUGGCAAGGAAGGAUUGUUGUUGACAUUCGUGAAUAUUACCUCAAAGAUGGAAAGCAAAUGCCUGGCAGAAAAGUUAAGUUGAACUAAAGAAUAGGAUAUGAUGCUCAAGCUGAUGAUGGUUUCAGUUCCUACUGUCACGUAGAUAGGUAUCUCAUUGACCAUGGACCAGUGGAAUGUGCUUCGUGAUCACAUUGAAGAAAUUGACAAGGCAGUUAACGAGAAUUCUUAGGAAAUGGAUGUGGAGUCGAUUCACUAGUCUGCAUGGUGGCCUGCAGGUUUUAGUUUUUUUUUGGAUUAUUAGUACAGUUUAGGGUCACGUGAUGUAUUUACCUAAGUAUCAAAUCCGUAGGUUGGUAUCGUAGGAUUUGGAUUUUAAGCUUUGGUUACUAAUGCAUGUAAAGUGAUCGAUC